ACUCUGCUAGGGAUCUAUAGUAGACUUAUGCCAGACACUAUACUGUUUAGUUGGUAUUUUCUGGAUGGAAAUUUGCUAGCAUGCUAAUCCUUUUUUUGGCUGUUUUCAGUUUGGCUGUGAACACUGCUGGACUGAUCCUUUUCAAGCACAGUUGCUGCCGUGUUUUGGCAUAAGUCGAGUGCGGUAGAGCAAUUACCUAUCCUUUUUCCCGUGCAUCUUAAUAUCCAGGGUGAAGAAUAGACAUGGUGUGAAGGAAACAUGGAAUGCAGGUAGUGGUGAUGGUGACUUGAAAUCUUACCUGCAAGAAUCUGUGAAGUGUACAAGCUUAAAUGACAUGAACCAGCCUCCUUUAGAAUCAAAUCCAAUUAAGAAAUCUAGUGAUCAACAUAUGAGUAACCUCCAUAACUGGGGCAUGGAAGAAAACAUAGCUAAUUAAGCAGAAGGAGAAGCAAGUAAGUGGAGGAGGGUAGUUGAUUUCAGCUUCCAAGAUUGGGACCUCAUUGCAAAUUGGAACAUUUUGCUAGUGAGCAUGCCUGCCAUAAAUAAAAGAAAAUUCCCAAAUACCUACAUUAAAAGGGGCAUAAGUGUAAUUAGUCCAUUUGCAUGUAGCUCCCAAAACCCGAAGCCCACACUCGCAGUUACAAAGAGUCUUCCCAGAACUUAGCUUACUCUUGAGCUCUUGAAUAUGAAGUUUCUAGAUUGGUAUUUGAAGAUUGCAUUUGGGUCGGCUCUGAUUGGAGCUUCCAUGGAGUUUUUCAUGAUCAAAACCGGCUUCUAUGAUAAAGUAACAGUUCUGGAAUCUGAAAAAAGGGCUUGGGAGAAUUCGCCAGAGGCUCAGGCAGUCAGAGAAGCUCUCAAUCCUUGGAGAAAUCGUGAUGUAGAAGCAAAGAAAGAAUCCUAAGUUGGAUGGUGGCGUUCUCAUAAGGAAGAAGAUAAUAUAUGCAGGAUAGUUUUUGAGAAAUACUUCCAAGUAGGACACAAUUGAGAGUGUUCAUUGAAGAAAUCACAUAUCUGUAACUUGGCUUCUUCUUUUUUUCUUUUCUAACGUAGCAGUGAUGUAGAACAUCGAUCUAUCUGAGAAACUAGAAAUUUUAAUAUUUACCACGAAACUCAAAAUUUUUGUAACAUUCAAGACAAAAAGAGAAUCAAAAGUUACACACAUUCAUUGUUGUUUUCAAAGAUUUCGGUGGUAUAGUUUUUAGAGAUCGUGCCCUUUCGUGGCAACAACCACCUUAUGAUUUACAAGGAAUUUGACCAUCUUUCCUUCACUUAAAUCAUUUAUGUGGACUGCAGCAACAGAAGAAGCAAAAUGAAAGACAACGAAUGCAUAGUGUGAUUUCUUGGCUCUUUCUUCCAUAUGAAUAGAUUUGACGAGUCCAAAGUUACUGAAAACCGGAAGCACCAUUCUGAUUAUAACGUACUGAGCCAU